UGAAUUGACGGGGCCCGCACAAGCGGUGGAGCAUGUGGUUUAAUUCGACGCAACGCGAAGAACCUUACCAGGGCUUGACAUCCCCUGACCGCGUAUGAAAGUACGUUUUCACCUCGGGUGACAGGGAGACAGGUGGUGCAUGGUUGUCGUCAGCUCGUGUCGUGAGAUGUUGGGUUAAGUCCCGCAACGAGCGCAACCCCUACGUUUAGUUGCUAACGCGUGAAGGCGAGCACUCUAGACGAACUGCCGUUGACAAAACGGAGGAAGGUGGGGAUGACGUCAAAUCAUCAUGCCCCUUAUGUUCUGGGCUACACACGUGCUACAAUGGCCGGUACAGACGGACGCAAAGCCGCGAGGUGGAGCAAAUCCUAAAAAGCUGGCCUCAGUUCAGAUUGCAGUCUGAAACUCGACUGCAUGAAGUCGGAGUUGCUAGUAAACGCAGGUCAGCUAUACUGCGUUGAAUACGUUCCCGGGGCUU
rnacentral:rRNA from 1 species